AAUCGGAGCCGAGUCGGCAUAUUAUUCCAUUCGACUAGAGCCGAGUCAACAUGUUGUUCUGUCCGACUGUAGCUGAGUGGGUAUAUUCCGCCCGACCAGAGUCGAGCCAGCAUAAUAGUCCUCUUGGGACUCAUUUCUAUCUGGAGAUUAGUAUUUUUCUUCUUUGGCUCUUCAAGACUUGAGCCGGAGCUUGUAUUUGUCAUCAAAUCAUCUUGAGCCAGAGUGUAUUGCAUCAUAUUUCAGUUGAAAGUAUGUUGAAAAAUCGAACAUGUCCAUCGAAUUUGUC
rnacentral:lncRNA from 1 species